rnacentral:rRNA from 1 species
GGGGAAUUUUGCGCAAUGGGGGCAACCCUGACGCAGCAACGCCGCGUGCGGGACGACGGCCUUCGGGUUGUAAACCGCUUUCAGCAGGGAAGAACCUAUGACGGUACCUGCAGAAGAAGCCCCGGCUAACUACGUGCCAGCAGCCGCGGUAAUACGUAGGGGGCGAGCGUUAUCCGGAAUGAUUGGGCGUAAAGCGCGCGCAGGCGGCCGCUCAAGCGGGACCUCUAACCCCGGGGCUCAACCCCGGGCCGGGUCCCGAACUGGGCGGCUCGAGUGCGGUAGGGGAGAGCGGAAUUCCAAGUGUAGCGGUGAAAUGCGCAGAUAUUUGGAAGAACACCGAUGGCGAAGGCAGCUCUCUGGGCCGUCACUGACGCUGAGGCGCGAAAGCCGGGGGAGCGAAC